rnacentral:lncRNA from 1 species
CUUCUUUCGAGAUAGUAAUUCUUUGCUUCUCUACAAGCUAGCAACUUUUAUGAUAUGCAAGUUUUACUACAUAGAAGCUAGCAAAUUUAAAGAUGUGCAAGUUGGCAUAUUUGCUUUUCUUUGCAAUGUGCAUGAUAGUAUUUAUUUGUAAUGUUCAAGAUAGCAAAUUGUACAUCAUGCUAGCUAGCAAAUUAAAGAUGUUCAAGAAAGCAAGCUCU